rnacentral:rRNA from 1 species
AAUGGACGGAAGUCUGACGGAGCGACGCCGCGUGGAUGAUGAAGGCCGAAAGGUUGUAAAGUUCUUUUGCUGGGGAAGAAUAAGCCUAGGAGGGAAUGCCUAGGUGAUGACAUGAACCGGCGAAUAAGCCCCGGCCAACUACGUGCCAGCAGCCGCGGUAACACGUAGGGGGCGAGCGUUGUUCGGAAUUACUGGGCGUAAAGGGCAUGUAGGCGGUCUGGUAAGCCUGGCGUGAAAGACUGCAGCUUAACUGCAGGGAUGCGCUGGGAACUGCUGGGCUUGAGUGACGGAGAGGGAGCUGGAAUUCCUGGUGUAGGGGUGAAAUCUGUAGAUAUCAGGAAGAACACCGAUGGCGAAGGCAAGCUCCUGGCCGAUGACUGACGCUGAGGUGCGAAAGUGUGGGGAUCAAA